rnacentral:rRNA from 1 species
GGGGGAAUUUUGGACAAUGGGGGAAACCCUGAUCUAGCCAUCCCGCGUGUGCGAUGAAGGCCUCCGGGCUGUAUAGCACUUUUGGCAGGAAAGAAACGUCAUGGGUUAAUACCCCGUGAAACUGACGGUACCUGCAGAAUAAGCACCGGCUAACUACGUGCCAGCAGCCGCGGUAAUACGUAGGGUGCAAGCGUUAAUCGGAAUUACUGGGCGUAAAGCGUGCGCAGGCGGUUCGGAAAGAAAGAUGUGAAAUCCCAGAGCUCAACUUUGGAACUGCAUUUUUAACUACCGGGCUAGAGUGUGUCAGAGGGAGGUGGAAUUCCGCGUGUAGCAGUGAAAUGCAUAGAUAUGCGGAGGAAGACCGAUAGCGAAGGCAGCCUCCUGGGAUAACACUGACACUCAUGCACGAAAGCGUGGGGAGCAAACAGG